CUCAACUUCUGGGAACUUCUCUUAGAUAGCUGGGACCACCUGUCCGGCCUACACGAUGAGGUGAAACAGAAGCCCCUCUCCGGUUUCUCCAGGGCUCGCAGCGGGGUCCCGAGGGCCGGGGAGGAAGGUGGGCACUUGGGAUGCCAGCUGGGAGAAAGCAUUAAACAGUCCUGAAGAAUCUGUGACAGCAGAAGCGACACCACUCUUCCAUUAUGGACGAGCAUGGAGAGGUCUGAGAAGUUGCCUUCUGAAAGAUAAACCAGAAAACAAAGAAAUGAAGGUGAAUUUAAGAGCAGGUCUAUGAGAAAGGCGAAGUAAUUAGUAAGUAAAUCACCCAGUUAUUUUCCCCCU